GAUGAACGCUGGCGGUCUGCUUAACACAUGCAAGUCGAACGGGCUCUUCGGAGCUAGUGGCGGACGGGUGAGUAACGCGUGAGAAUCUGCCUUCAGGAGGGGGAUAACGACUGGAAACGGUCGCUAAUACCCCAUAUGCCUCCGGGUGAAAAGUAAUUCGCCUGAAGAUGAGCUCGCGUCAGAUUAGCUAGUUGGUGGGGUAAGAGCCUACCAAGGCGACGAUCUGUAGCUGGUUCUGAGAGGAUGAUCAGCCACACUGGACUGAGACACGGCCCAGACUCCUACGGGAGGCAGCARUGGGGAAUUUUCCGCAAUGGGCGCAAGCCUGACGGAGCAAGACCGCGUGGGGGAUGACGGCCUAAUGGUUGUAAACCCCUUUUCUCUGGGAAGAAGACUGACGGUACCAGAGGAAUCAGCCUCGGCUAACUCCGUGCCAGCAGCCGCGGUAAUACGGAGGAGGCAAGCGUUAUCAGGAAUUAUUGGGCGUAAAGCGUCCGUAGGUGGUUAUUCAAGUCUGCUGUCAAAGCGUGGGGCUUAACUCCAUAGAGGCAGUGGAAACUGAGUGACUAGAGUGCGGUAGGGGUCGAGGGAAUUCCCAGUGUAGCGGUGAAAUGCGUAGAUAUUGGGAAGAACACCAGUGGCGAAAGCGCUCGACUGGGCCUGCACUGACACUGAGGGACGAAAGCUAGGGGAGCGAAAGGGAUUAGAUACCCCUGUAGUCCUAGCCGUAAACGAUGGAUACUAGGUGUUGCUCGUCAUCGACCCGAGCAGUGCCGUAGCCAACGCGU
rnacentral:rRNA from 1 species